rnacentral:rRNA from 1 species
GCAGUCGAACGGGCUGCCAUAAGGCAGCCAGUGGCGAACGGGUGAGGAGCACAUGGGGAACCUGCCCGUCAGAGGGGGACAACAGCUGGAAACGGCUGCUAAGACCGCAUAGGCUCAAGGAGGGCAUCCUCGUUGAGUUAAAGUGUCCUUUCGGGGACAGCUGACGGAUGGACCUGUGGCGCAUUAGCUAGUUGGCGGGGUAAAGGCCCACCAAGGCGACGAUGCGUAGCCGGCCUGAGAGGGCGGACGGCCACACUGGGACUGAGACACGGCCCAGACUCCUGCGGGAGGCAGCAGUAGGGAAUUUUCGGCAAUGGGGGGAACCCUGACCGAGCAACGCCGCGUGAGUGAGGAAGGCCUUCGGGCUGUAAAGCUCUGUUGCAGAGGAAGAACGGGAGAGCGAGGAAAUGCGCUUUUCGUGACGGUACUCUGCGAGAAAGCCACGGCUAACUACGUGCCAGCAGCCGCGGUAAUACGUAGGUGGCAAGCGUUAUCCGGAAUCAUUGGGCGUAAAGAGGGAGCAGGCGGACGCGAAGGUCCGUAGUAAAAGCCCGAAGCUAAACUUCGGGCGGCUAUGGAAACCGCGCGCCUGGAGUGCGGAAGAGGAUCGCGGAAUUCCAUGUGUAGCGGUGAAAUGCGUAGAUAUAUGGAGGAACACCGGUGGCGAAGGCGGCGGUCUGGUCCGGCACUGACG